CAAGGCGAUCCAGAAAAGCAUGACGUUGUAUUCAUAAUAUACUGACAAAAUAACCUUGAAAUCGUGAGGGAUGACCUCAUCUAAUCUCCAGUAGCAAUUUUGUUCAGUAUUUGGAGGUGUUAUGCGUCUGGAUCGUCUUAC
rnacentral:ncRNA from 1 species